AGAGUUUGAUCCUGGCUCAGAACGAACGCUGGCGGCGUGCCUAACACAUGCAAGUCGAGCGCGAAAGUCCCUUCGGGGGCGAGUAGAGCGGCGGACGGGUGAGUAAUACAUGGAUAAUCUCCCUUCGAGCUCGGGAUAACACUGCGAAAGCGGUGCUAAUACCGGAUAAGACCACGUCACCCAGGUGAUGCGGUAAAAGAUGGCUUUGUUUUCGGAUGAGGCUAUCACUUGAGGAUGAGUCCAUGGCCUAUCAGCUUGUUGGUGAGGUAAAGGCUCACCAAGGCGAUGACGGGUAGCUGGUCUGAGAGGACGAUCAGCCACACUGGGACUGAGACACGGCCCAGACUCCUACGGGAGGCAGCAGUGGGGAAUAUUGGGCAAUGGGCGAAAGCCUGACCCAGCGACGCCGUGUGGGCGAUGAAGGCCUUCGGGUUGUAAAGCCCUGUUGGGUGGAAAGAAGGGCUCUAGGACGAAUAAUCCCUGAGUCUUGACGGUACCACCAGAGGAAGCACCGGCUAACUCCGUGCCAGCAGCCGCGGUAAUACGGAGGGUGCAAGCGUUGUUCGGAAUUACUGGGCGUAAAGGGCGCGUAGGUGGUUGUGUAAGUCAGAUGUGAAAUCCCGAGGCUCAACCUCGGAACUGCAUCUGAUACUGCAUGACUAGAGUGCAGCAGAGGGAAACGGAAUUCCCAGUGUAGAGGUGAAAUUCGUAGAUAUUGGGAGGAACACCGGUGGCGAAGGCGGUUUCCUGGGCUGACACUGACACUGAGGCGCGAAAGCGUGGGUAGCAAACAGGAUUAGAUACCCUGGUAGUCCACGCUGUAAACGG
rnacentral:rRNA from 1 species